rnacentral:rRNA from 1 species
GAUGAACGCUGACAGAAUGCUUAACACAUGCAAGUCAACCUGAACUUCGGUUUGGGUGGCGGACGGGUGAGUAACGCGUAAAGAACUUGCCUCACAGAUAGGGACAACAUUUGGAAACGAAUGCUAAUACCUGAUAUUAUGAUUAUAUGGCAUCGUAUAAUUAUGAAAGCUAUAUGCGCUGUGAGAGAGCUUUGCGUCCCAUUAGCUAGUUGGAGAGGUAACGGCUCACCAAGGCGAUGAUGGGUAGCCGGCCUGAGAGGGUGAUCGGCCACAAGGGGACUGAGACACGGCCCUUACUCCUACGGGAGGCAGCAGUGGGGAAUAUUGGACAAUGGACCAAGAGUCUGAUCCAGCAAUUCUGUGUGCACGAUGAAGUUUUUCGGAAUGUAAAGUGCUUUCAGUUGGGAAGAAAAAAAUGACGGUACCAACAGAAGAAGUGACGGCUAAAUACGUG